GAAAACUUCUAAAAAAUUCCAAUAAUGGCUAAGGGGGAUUCUCAUGGUCCGAGACGUUCACGACUCGCUAGAGAUCAGCUUCAGGUUGCCUGCCAAGAGAAAGAAGAAGUGGAAGGGAGUUCUUAGGCUUGAAAUACACACACACACACGGUGAUCUGUUUUAACACUGAA